GAUGAACGCUGGCGGCGUGCCUAAUACAUGCAAGUCGAGCGAACAGAUAAGGAGCUUGCUCCUUUGACGUUAGCGGCGGACGGGUGAGUAACACGUGGGUAACCUACCUAUAAGACUGGAAUAACUCCGGGAAACCGGGGCUAAUGCCGGAUAACAUUUAGAACCGCAUGGUUCUAAAGUGAAAGAUGGUUUUGCUAUCACUUAUAGAUGGACCCGCGCCGUAUUAGCUAGUUGGUAAGGUAACGGCUUACCAAGGCAACGAUACGUAGCCGACCUGAGAGGGUGAUCGGCCACCCUGGAACGGAGACACGGUCCAGACUCCUACGGUAGGCAGCAGUAGGGAAUCUUCCGCAAUGGGCGAAAGCCUGACGGAGCAACGCCGCGUGAGUGAUGAAGAUCUUCGGAUCGUAAAACUCUGUUAUUAGGGAAGAACAAAUGUGUAAGUAACUGUGCACGUCUUGACGGUACCUAAUCAGAAAGCCACGGCUAACUACGUG
rnacentral:rRNA from 1 species